rnacentral:tRNA from 1 species
GGCCUGGUGGCCAAGUGGUAAGGCAGAGCUCUGCAAAAGCUCCAUUCGCCGGUUCGAAUCCGGCCCAGGCCUCCA